GACGAACGCUGGCGGCGUGCUUAACACAUGCAAGUCGAACGGAAAGGCCCUGCUUUUGUGGGUUGCUCGAGUGGCGAACGGGUGAGUAACACGUGAGUAACCUGCCCUUGACUUUGUGAUAACUUCAGGAAACUGGGGCUAAUACCGGAUAGGAGCUCCUGCUGCAUGGUGGGGGUUGGAAAGUUUCGGCGGUUGGGGAUGGACUCGCGGCUUAUCAGCUUGUUGGUGGGGUAGUGGCUUACCAAGGCUUUGACGGGUAGCCGGCCUGAGAGGGUGACCGGCCACAUUGGGACUGAGAUACGGCCCAGAAUCCUACGGGAGGCAGCAGUGGGGAAUAUUGCACAAUGGGCGGAAGCCUGAUGCAGCAACGCCGCGUGCGGGAUGACGGCCUUCGGGUUGUAAACCGCUUUCGCCUGUGACGAAGCGUGAGUGACGGUAAUGGGUAAAGAAGCACCGGCUAACUACGUG
rnacentral:rRNA from 1 species